CCUACGGGGGGCAGCAGUGAGGAAUAUUGGUCAAUGGACGAGAGUCUGAACCAGCCAAAUAGCGUGAAGGAUGACUGCCCUAUGGGUUGUAAACUUCUUUUAUAUGGGAAUAAAAUGUUCCACGUGUGGGAUUUUGUAUGUACCAUAUGAAUAAGGAUCGGCUAACUCCGUGCCAGCAGCCGCGGUAAUACGGAGUAUCCGAGCGUUAUCCGGAUUUAUUGGGUUUAAAGGGAGCGUAGGUGGAUUGUUAAGUCAGUUGUGAAAGUUUGCGGCUCAACCGUAAAAUUGCAGUUGAAACUGGCAGUCUUGAGUACAGUAGAGGUGGGCGGAAUUCGUGGUGUAGCGGUGAAAUGCUUAGAUAUCACGAAGAACUCCGAUUGCGAAGGCAGUUCACUGGACUGCAACUGACACUGAGGCUCGAAAGUGUGGGUAUCAAACAGGAUUAGAUACCCCUGUAGUC
rnacentral:rRNA from 1 species